UCUUGUCUCUCUUCUCUUCUUUCUCUCUACUUCCUCUCGUUCUUUCCCCUUCUUCCAUACAACAACAACAAUACACCAAACUCAAAAUUACUAACCCUAAUCCCAAAAUCGAUGGCGAACGUGAAUCAUCACAAACAAUUAGCAACACAAAUCCUAAGCUAAGUGGUUUUCUAAUAUACCUCUCUGGCCAUGAAACUGGAUGUUUUCCUCUUCCGAUUUUUUUAUCCUAUCCGUCUAAUCACCUUUUUCUUUGUUGUCUUGCAGAUACUAACGAUGGAGGUGUUGGGUUCAACAAAGGUUUAGAGUAUCAGUUAUGA